CACCUCUUACCUUUCCGAACAGAGAAGUUAAGCCCAACUGCGCAGAUGGUACUGCAUUUUUGUGGGAGAGUAUGUCGCCGCCUUCU
rnacentral:rRNA from 1 species